GACGAACGCUGGCGGCGUGCUUAACACAUGCAAGUCGAACGAUGAACCGGUUUCGGCCGGGGAUUAGUGGCGAACGGGUGAGUAACACGUGGGCAAUCUGCCCUGCACUCUGGGACAAGCCCUGGAAACGGGGUCUAAUACCGGAUAUGACCACCGGCCGCAUGGUCUGGUGGUGGAAAGCUCCGGCGGUGUAGGAUGAGCCCGCGGCCUAUCAGCUUGUUGGUGGGGUGAUGGCCUACCAAGGCGACGACGGGUAACCGGCCUGAGAGGGCGACCGGCCACACUGGGACUGAGACACGGCCCAGACUCCUACGGGAGGCAGCAGUGGGGAAUAUUGCACAAUAGGCGCAAGCCUGAUGCAGCGACGCCGCGUGAGGGAUGACGGCCUUCGGGUUGUAAACCUCUUUCAGCAGGGAAGAAGCGUAAGUGACGGUACCUGCAGAAGAAGCACCGGCUAACUACGUGC
rnacentral:rRNA from 1 species